rnacentral:rRNA from 1 species
AGCAGUGAGGAUAUUGGUCAAUAGCCUAACGGCUGAACCAGCAACUUGGAGGAAUGUACAGGGGAAACCCUAGUUGCACUAGUAGCCCUAGUGUAAAAUCGACUUUGUUGAAUAAAGUUCUGGAUGGAAUUUUGAUAAUGACAAUGUCUGUCCAUUAGUCUUGACCAAAUUACGUGCCAGCAGUCGCGGUAAUACGUAGAAGACAAGUGUUAUUCAUCUUUAAUAGGUUUAAAAGGUACUUAGACGGAAAAUAAAGCCUCUAAAAAGGGUACUAGUUUUCUAGAGUUUUAUGUGGAGGAGUAUUAAAGUACUGCUGGUGUAGAGAUAAAAUUCAGUCAUACCUUGAUGGCACAGGUAAAGGCGAAGGCAUCUUCUUAUGUAAUAACUGACGUUGAAGGACGAAGGCUUUGUGUCUCGAACAGGAUUAGAUACCCUAGUAGUCUAAGCAGAAAAUGAUGAAUGUCAUAGAUUAGAUGUAAUUUGAUCUAUAAAUGAAAGUGUAAGCAUUCUACCUCAAGAGUAAUUUGGCAACAUUGGAACUGAAAUCAUUAGACCGUUUCUGAAACCAGUAGUGAAGUAUGUUGUUUAAUUUGAUAAUCCGCAAAAAACCUUACCACUCUAAUAUAAUUUGAAUAGAUAUAUAUUAUCAUACAAGCGUUGCACGGCUGUCUUCAGUUAAUGUCGUGAGACUUUGGUUAGUUCCAUAAAAUUAACGUAAACCCUUACUCUAUUUUAAUAUAAAGUAGUUCACCGCUAUAUUGGUUAAGAUAAUAGGGAUCAAGACAAGUCAACAUGACCUAAAUAUUGUGGGCUAUAGACGUGCCACAU